AACGAACGCUGGCGGCGUGCUUAACACAUGCAAGUCGAACGCGAACGGGUUCUUCGGGACCUUAGUAGAGUGGCGCACGGGUGAGUAACGCGUAAGUUAUCUACCUCGGCAUCUGGAAUAACUCACCGAAAGGUGUGCUAAUACCGGAUACGUUGAGUAAUCGAGAAAGGUGGCCUCUCUUUGAUGCUACCGUGCUGAGAUGAGCUUGCGUACAAUUAGCUAGUUGGUGGGGUAAUGGCCUACCAAGGCGACGAUGGUUAGCGGGUCUGAGAGGAUGAUCCGCCACACUGGAACUGGAACACGGACCAGACUCCUACUGGAGGCAGCAGUGAGGAAUAUUGCGCAAUGGGGGCAACCCUGACGCAGCGACGCCGCGUGGAUGAUGAAGGCCUUCGGGUCGUAAAAUCCUGUCAGGUGGAAAGAAAUGCAUAUGUGCUAAUACCAUGUAUGCUUGACGGUACCACCGAAGGGAGCACCGGCUAACUCCGUGCCAGCCGCCGCAGUAA
rnacentral:rRNA from 1 species